GCCUGGGUGGCUCAGUCGGUUGAGGAUCCGACUUCAGCUCAGGUCAUGAUCUCACAGUUCGUGGGUUCAAGCCCCGCCUCGGGCU
rnacentral:tRNA from 1 species